CCCUGUUUUUCACAGAGUCGGUAGAGCAUCAGACUUUUAAUCUGAGGGUCCAGGGUUCAAGUCCCUGUUUGGGUG